AUUGAACGCUGGCGGCAUGCCUAACACAUGCAAGUCGAGCGGAUGAAGGGAGCUUGUUCCUGGCUUCAGUGGCGGACGGGCGAGUAAUGCCUAGGAAUCUGCCCUGCAUUUGGGGAUAACGUCCGUAAACGGGCCCUAAUAUCGCACACGAUCUGAGUUUGAAACUGGUGGUUCUUCGGUCCUCACGCUACCUGAUGUGCCUAGGCUGUAUUAGCUAGUUGGUAUGGCAACGGCGUACCAAGGCGACGAUCCAUAACUGAUCUGAGAGGCUGAUCGGUCACACUGGAACUGAGACACGGUCCAGACUCCUACGGGAGGCAGCAGUGGGGAAUAUUGGACAAUGGGCGAAAGCCUGAUCCAGCCAUGCCGCGUGAGUGAAGAAGGUCUUCGGAUUGUAAAGCACUUUAAGUUGGGAGGAAGAGCAGUAAGUUAAUACCUUGCUGUUUUGACGUUACCAACAGAAUAAGCACCGGCUAACUUCGUG
rnacentral:rRNA from 1 species